UGGCAGAAUGAAUAAAUGAAC
rnacentral:piRNA from 1 species